rnacentral:rRNA from 1 species
AUUGAACGCUGGCGGCAGGCCUAACACAUGCAAGUCGAGCGAGCGGCGGACGGGUGAGUAAUGUCUGGGAAACUGCCUGAUGGAGGGGGAUAACUACUGGAAACGGUAGCUAAUUACGCAUAACAUCAGAUGUGCCGAGAUGGGAGUAGCUAGUAGUGGGGGUAAUGGCUCACCUAGGCGACGAUCCCUAGCUGGUCUGAGAGGAUGAGCAGCCACACUGGCACUGAGACACGGUCCAGACUCCUACGGGAGGCAGCAGUGGGGAAUAUUGCACAAUGGGCGCAAGCCUGAUGCAGCCAUGCCGCGUGUAUGAAGAAGGCCUUCGGGUUGUAAAGUACUUUCAGCGAGGAGGCGUUACUCGCAGAAGAAGCACCGGCUAACUCCGUGCCAGCAGCCGCGGUAAUAC